CGAACGCUGGCGGCGUGCUUAACACAUGCAAGUCGAACGAUGAAGCCCUUCGGGGUGGAUUAGUGGCGAACGGGUGAGUAACACGUGGGCAAUCUGCCCUUCACUCUGGGACAAGCCCUGGAAACGGGGUCUAAUACCGGAUGAUACUUCCACUCGCAUGGGUGGGGGUUGAAAGCUCCGGCGGUGAAGGAUGAGCCCGCGGCCUAUCAGCUUGUUGGUGAGGUAGUGGCUCACCAAGGCGACGACGGGUAGCCGGCCUGAGAGGGCGACCGGCCACACUGGGACUGAGACACGGCCCAGACUCCUACGGGAGGCAGCAGUGGGGAAUAUUGCACAAUGGGCGAAAGCCUGAUGCAGCGACGCCGCGUGAGGGAUGACGGCCUUCGGGUUGUAAACCUCUUUCAGCAGGGAAGAAGCGAAAGUGACGGUACCUGCAGAAGAAGCGCCGGCUAACUACGUGCCAGCAGCCGCGGUAAUACGUAGGGCGCAAGCGUUGUCCGGAAUUAUUGGGCGUAAAGAGCUCGUAGGCGGUCUGUCGCGUCGGAUGUGAAAGCCCGGGGCUUAACCCCGGGUCUGCAUUCGAUACGGGCAGACUAGAGU
rnacentral:rRNA from 1 species